GAUGAACGCUGGCGGCGUGCCUAAUACAUGCAAGUCGAGCGAACAGACGAGGAGCUUGCUCCUCUGACGUUAGCGGCGGACGGGUGAGUAACACGUGGAUAACCUACCUAUAAGACUGGGAUAACUUCGGGAAACCGGAGCUAAUACCGGAUAACAUGUUGAACCGCAUGGUUCAACAGUGAAAGACGGUCUUGCUGUCACUUAUAGAUGGAUCCGCGCCGCAUUAGCUAGUUGGUAAGGUAACGGCCUACCAAGGCAACGAUGCGUAGCCGACCUGAGAGGGUGAUCGGCCACACUGGAACUGAGACACGGUCCAGACUCCUACGGGAGGCAGCAGUAGGGAAUCUUGCGCAAUGGGCGAAAGCCUGACGGAGCAACGCCGCGUGAGUGAAGAAGGUCUUCGGAUCGUAAAACUCUGUUAUUAGGGAAGAACAAAUGUGUAAGUAACUAUGCACGUCUUGACGGUACCUAAUCAGAAAGCCACGGCUAACUACGUG
rnacentral:rRNA from 1 species